UGCGUAGGUGGUUUCUUAAGUCAGAGGUGAAAGGCUACGGCUCAACCGUAGUAAGCCUUUGAAACUGGGAAACUUGAGUGCAGGAGAGGAGAGUAGAAUUCCUAGUGUAGCGGUGAAAUGCGUAGAUAUUAGGAGGAACACCAGUUGCGAAGGCGGCUCUCUGGACUGUAACUGACACUGAGGCACGAAAGCGUGGGGAGCAAACA
rnacentral:rRNA from 1 species